rnacentral:ncRNA from 1 species
AAGGUCUUCUUUUGCGGGGAAAGAGGGAAUUGGGUGAAAGUCCCAAACGAUCUCGUCACUGUAUUUGAAGAGCGCAGGUCAUUUUCGAGUCACUGACUGCUGUUGGGAAGGCUGUCCUGCGCGAAGACUCAUCAGUCAGGAAACCUGCCCGGAUCU